UUUCCUUUUUUUCUUUUUAAGAUGAUGGCAGAUGAAAGGAAAAAAACAGCUCUAAAGUGCCCUCUAUUUUUCCCGAGAUAUUAAAGAUGUCCAAUGAUUCUUGGGCAGGUGGUACCUAUUCCCCAUAUUGUCUUUGUUAUUGCCUUCUUGAAAGCAAAGCAAAAAGGAAAAAAGAACCAGGCAGGCCUUGCACAGGACACCUUCUCGGGACAGAAGUGUGCUGUAGGGUGCCUGGUGUGCUCUGGGAAGGGUGUGGAGGGCUAGCUGGCUGCAGUGACAUGGAAUGCACUUGCCAGGACUGACUGAGGCUUUCAGUCACAUCACUGCUUAUUUCUUAGGCAAUUUCUAGCUCCUUCAGUUUCUACACUUCCAAAUUGUAUAGUAAGCCAUUGAGAGGAUG
rnacentral:lncRNA from 1 species